UACGGAGGGUGCAAGCGUUAUCCGGAUUUACUGGGUUUAAAGGGUGUGUAGGCGGAUCAUUAAGUCAGCGGUGAAAUCUCCGAGCUCAACUCGGAAACUGCCAUUGAUACUAUUAGUCUUGAAUAUUGUUGAGGUGGGCGGAACGGGUCAUGUAGCGGUGAAAUGCAUAGAUAUGACCCGGAACACCGAUUGCGAAGGCAGCCCACUAAGCAAUGAUUGACGCUGAGGCACGAAAGCGUGGGGAUCAAACAGG
rnacentral:rRNA from 1 species